UUUCUCUAACCCUCCAACGUUGUAUAUGCAAAUUAAGGGACCAUGGGAAAUUGGCCCUCGGCCCGCGCGACCUCUGCGCGCCUCCGGAGGGCGCGAGCCUCACACUCGGUCACGUGGCGCGCGCGGCCGCGCUCCUCUUCCCAGCCAUCUCAGCUGGGCCCCCAGGGGUCGCACGCGGGGUUCCACCGAAAACCGGGCGGCACGGUGUCCCCGAAACUACGCGGGGCGGCGCGUGCGCGGCGCCAGCACAUUUUGGGGGACAAGAGGCGGUGAUGCGCACGGGGGCCCCACAGAAAUCAGGUCGGGCCGUCCCCGCGGCAGGACCCGUGACCCUGGCGAGAGCUGGAAACGCCGGUCGUGCACCGGAAGGGGCCGGGCAGGGUGGCCCGGGGCCGCAGCGCGGAGGAGUGGUUCACGGUGCGCCGCUGCUUCCCCUGGGGUGGUCGGGCCCUGCGCCCUGUGCUUGAAGCCAAGGGCAAGGGGGUGAGCGUCCGCUUGGGGCCAACGCUUUCCAUAGUGUGACUCGAAGUGUGGCAGACCGGGAAAGGUCGCCAGGCUUUGGUCCAGCACUGGGCCGGGCCCCUUAGCUGACCCGUGUCCUUCCCCUCAAUUUCCACGUUAGAAAACAAGCUCUAGUUGGUUAAUCAAGGCCAAAAUUAGCCUGCCAGUCGUGAAAGAAGUUGGGAUUUGCAGGCAAGUCUGGUUUCAAAAACCGAUCUUUUCCUCUUCACAGUGGAACUCGAGCGAGGAAAGAUUUGGGACCAGGAGUGCGGCCUCCCCUUUUGGACAAUGCUCCCAAGGCCUUAUCGGCUCAGACUUUCCUUCCUGCCCUAGUUCCCUCACCACACAGCAAGCGUCUGUGACGUCAGCGCCGGGGCUGCAGGGCCAACAAGAAGUGGUUUGUGUUGCUGUGGCCGUUCGGUUCCAGCGAGGGAGCCAAGCAAACGUGGAAGAGCAUUCUCAGUGCUGAGAGGGACUAGAAGGGAAGAACGUGGGGUUUAGACAGUGACUGGGGAAUGAAGGUGGGCAGGAGGGAAGGGGACAUUUGAACUGUCGCUCCAUACGGAUGCAACCCUGAGAGGACCUGACAGACAGUGCCAGGCAGAAGAUGACCUGGGAGCUACCUGAGUCAAUGUCACCCAUCUGGGCAAGUCCUUCAGGCAGGAGAAGCCACUGUGGAGAGCUGGCCUUCUCUGAGCAAGACUUGCCCAUUCAGCAAGCACUUUUUGGCCUCCACCGUCUGAUGGAGUGGCAGAGAAUAAAAGAAAGAGAAGACAAUGAAGCCAAUGUAGCUGAGAAGGAGCAUUUCUGAAAUUGGAAGCUCUCCCCUAUACCAAACAUGCUAAUAGAGGAAGUGAAAAUUUGGCCUGAAAACUCCAGUUUGAAGAAGGCAA